rnacentral:rRNA from 1 species
UACGGGGGGGGGCAAGCGUUGUUCGGAAUUACUGGGCGUAAAGGGCUCGUAGGCGGCCAACUAAGUCCGACGUGAAAUCCCCCAGGCUUAACCUGGGAACUGCGUCGGAUACUGGAUGGCUUGAAUUCGGGAGAGGGAUGCAGAAUUCCAGGUGUAGCGGUGAAAUGCGUAGAUAUCUGGAGGAACACCGGUGGCGAAGGCGGCAUCCUGGACCAUUACUGACGCUGAGGCGCGAAGGCCAGGGGAGCAAACGGG